GACGAACGCUGGCGGCGUGCUUAACACAUGCAAGUCGAACGGAAAGGCCCUGCUUUUGUGGGGUGCUCGAGUGGCGAACGGGUGAGUAACACGUGAGUAACCUGCCCUUGACUUUGGGAUAACUUCAGGAAACUCGGGCUAAUACCGGGUAUAAGCUCCUGCUGCAUGGUGGGGGUUGGAAAGUUUCGGCGGUUGGGGAUGGACUGGCGGCUUAUCAGCUGGUUGGGGGGGUAGUUGCUUACAAAGGCUUUGACGGGUAGCCGGCCUGAGAGGGUGACCGGCCACAUUGGGCCUGCGAUACGGCGCAGAAUCCUACGGGAGGCAGCAGGCGGGAACCUUGCACAAUGGGCGGACGUCUGAUGCAGCAACGUCGCGUGCGGGAUGACGGCCUUCGGGUUGUAAACCGCUUUCGACGGUGACGAAGCGUGAGUGACGGUAAUGGGUAAAGAAGCACCGGCUAACUACGUG
rnacentral:rRNA from 1 species